rnacentral:sRNA from 1 species
GGCCUUUGCCCUUCCUGGGCGUUUCCUCCCUGUAAACUUGGCCGCGCCGUUGUGCGCGGCUUUUUUUGCCCAAA